AACGAACGCUGGCGGCAUGCCUAACACAUGCAAGUCGAACGGGAUCCUAGCUUGCUAGGUGAGAGUGGCGGACGGGUGAGUAACACGUGGGAAUCUGCCUUUUGGUUCGGGAUAACCGCGGGAAACUGCGGCUAAUACCGAAUGCCCUCGAGAGAGGAAAGAUUUAUCGCCAGAAGAGGAGCCCGCGUCCGAUUAGGUAGUUGGUGGGGUAAAGGCCUACCAAGCCGACGAUCGGUAGCUGGUCUGAGAGGAUGAUCAGCCACACUGGGACUGAGAUACGGCCCAGACUCCUACGGGAGGCAGCAGUGGGGAAUAUUGGACAAUGGGGCGAACCCUCGAUCCAGCAAUGCCGCGUGAGUGAUGAAGGCCUUAGGGUUGGUUAAAGACUCUUUUGUCCAGGGAAGGAUGAUGACUGUACCUGGAGAA
rnacentral:rRNA from 1 species